UGUUGAAAGCCCUCCCUUACAGAGCUCCUCAACAUAGAAUUCAUGCGUGAGAGCCCAAAUCUCGACAAUCCGUUGCCAUGCCAAAGAUUAAACGUUUUCGGAAUCCAUUGAAAUCAGCUCAUGGACCAUAUGAUGCUUCUGGACAUUCUUCAUCAUCAACAACUCCAGUCACGUCACUUGCUAUAGAGCCCUCAACAUCGUUACAAGCUCCACCACAUGCUCUUGCAAGUUCCUCAGCAGCUGAUGAAGUCCCACAACAAGAACAAGCUCCGACUCAACCUUCUAAUCCAAGUGCAAUGUCCACACACCAUCAUGGAUGUGAAUCUACACAAUAUUAAAAAGUAGAGACUCAAACAACACUACUAAGCACAUUAUGAUCAAGGUCAAUGAGGUCAACAACCUACCUAUCAGAGAUCGCAUCAUUGUGGACUUUGAUAACUACAAUGCAGCAUAUGGGGAAACACAAGGGUUGCUUGUGAUAUUGUGGAUUGUUCGCUAUUGAUGACAAUUUCUUCCUAGUUAAUUUUGACAGGUGGUCAGGACUGUCAGGUAUUCCUAAAAAAUACAAAUGAAGACGGCUUCUAAAACCAUGCUAAAGUUAUUACACAAAUGUUUAUUUAUUGUAACUAGAUUUUUAUACAUGAAGUGUAAACUAACUUUCUUUUUCUUUUUCAUUUGAAGCCUCGAUUUUUUUAGGACUACUAAUGCCAUUGCAUAUAGAUAUUGCAAUGCUAGUUUGCAUAAGAAGUGAAAAACACAUAGACAUAGGUUGUGGGAUGAAUUUUAUGACCCAGCCAAAAGCAGAACUGAACUUUUAGCAAUGU